UAAAGCUAGUGGACGCUCGUUACAGUUGAGAGGAUUUACUGAAAAUGUGUUUUACUCGCCAACCUGUUAAGAUUGCUGAUCCGGAAAUGGAUCUUUUACCAGUUUUACUGGGUGAAAUUUUGAUAGAGGUGCGGGCUCGUUGGUAUCUAGAUUCGGAUCCAAUCUUUUUGUUCGUUUCUCAUCAAUACGAGGUUGAUUGGAUCCAUUCGAUAGCACCACCCUUGCCCCCGAUAGAACCGGAUGGUCGCGCUCUUACCUUACUAGAGUGUGUCGUGACCAAUUUACAUUGGUAUUUUACGGACGAUGCUCUCAUUGGUAACAGCUGUUUAACGGAAGUUUUGAGAUUUAUCCGUCACAUUCGAG